UAUUGCUUUGAAUUGGUGACCUUUA
rnacentral:piRNA from 1 species